UAAUCACAGCUCACUCUAGCCUUGACCACUCAGGCUCAGGCAAUUCUCCUGCCUCAGCCUCCUGAGCAGAUGGGACCACAAAUGUGUAUUAACACACUUGGCUGUUUAUUAUUAUUUGCAGAGACAGGGUCUCCCUAUCCUGCCCAGGCAUGUUGUGAACUCUUGUGCUUAAGCAAUCUGCUACCUCGGCCUCCCAAAUUGCUGGAAUUACAGGUGUGAGCCACCACAACUUACCCAGCCUUUUUACUUUGUGUAAGAAUAGCAUCAGUGUAUUAAAAAUACAACGGAAAUUAUUUAUGGUGUCUUUUCAAUUCUUAUGCAUUAAAAUUCUCUUAUUAGGGCCUUUUAUUAAUGGUUACAGUGUAUUUUCUGUGAAAUUUUACUGUCACACACUGCAUGCCAAUGAUUCAAGAUACCCGAACUUCAUGAAUGCACAGUCACAGUAGAAUAUUUUAGUUAUCUAAAAAGUAUUUUCAUAAAUGAUAUAUCAAGUUUAUAUGCAAGGUAGCCUGGUCUGGUAGCAGGUGCUUGUAAUCUCAGUGAAGGCUGAGGCAGGAGAAUGGUUUGAACUCAGGAGGCGGAGGUUGAAAUGAGCCGUCGUCUCGCCACUGCACUUCAGCUUGGGUGACAGAGUGAGACUCUGUCUCAAAAAAAGAAAAAAACUUUGCUUGCAAGAUUUUAUGAGUAAAUAUGUUUCUUAUUUUUCUUUACAAUUCCAUAUUACUGUCUCGAUUAUUUAUAAUAGGUUCCAGGGCAGCAGUUGAUUUUAUUUUGGGUUUUACUUAUGUAUUAUAACUUUGGAUGUUAUAAUUUCCAACUCUGCCUGUACACUUCAAGUCAAUGUGGAUUUUUAAAAAAAUGUUAAUAGUACAAACUAUUCAUAGAUUCAACUUCGUAAUGUUAAAAGCAACGGCAGCUCCUGGUUUAAAAAGGGAACGGUGGAAGCAGCCGGCCAUUUUAUUUAAAAUCGCGUUAGAUUUUUCAGAAGGAUGAUAGUUAAGAUCAUUAAAUCCCAUUACUGCUUCUAAGAUUUCCACAAAAUAGCACAUUAAAUCCUCAGUCCUAAACAAUCACGACAGAGAUUCAAAAUUGCCUCUCAAUGUCAAGGUAAACAGCGCACUAUCUUCUCUUGCAAUAAAGGUACAUCAUUUGAUAUACAAGGGAGCAUAGCAGUCAGACACUUACAAGAUCGUGCUGUAGAAAUAACUUCCAUGUUUUCAUCCGCCAUGUGUAUCCUCACCUCUGUCUCCCAUGCAGUAACACUAUCAGUUUCCUCAUCUGUCCUUUCUACUUUCUUUUAAAGAGGAGGCUGAUUGCAGACAAUACAUGACAGAGGCAUUUCAAAUCAGAAAGGAGUUUCUUGAGAUAUACGUGAUUUUAGUUUUAAGUAGAAUGUCCUGAAGAGUUUUAGUUACAAUACCACCUUCAAGAGGAUGGUGGUGAAAUUCAUAGUAAACAUUUGGCAAAAUAUAGGUUAUGAGGCAGCCAUCUCCUAGAAACACUUCAUCGGGGUUUAUAUAUGAAAUGUGAAAUAUCGUAGGUUUAAUCCUGGCACAGAACCAAAACUGAGUGCAUUGCACUUGAACAGCUGACCAAUCCCCAGCACAGGUCCAUAUGAAGAAACGGAGAAGAAAGAAUCCUUUUAACCACAGAAAGGUCUUCAUUUGCCCAAACUGAAAACCAAAUUUCACUCAGGAAACUAAUGUUGGGUUUAAUUAAAAUAUAAAUCGGUCAUACGUUUUCAAAAUUAAAUUAUAUAUGUGUUUGUCUCUAUAAAUAUGUCCCCAACUUUGCUCAUGGCUUAUCUUCCAUAUUUUUUGGCUGAUUUUCAGUGGUUGUCUUAUCUUGUGUGGAUGAAUAGUCAUUGAAAUAAUCUUAAUUUCACAAUGUGUUUAAUUAUAAAUCUAUACUUCCUUUGUGUGAGAGAAAAUCUUUUGUGAACAAAAUUUAAUUUUUGGAAAGCUUUAUAAGUCCAUAUUUUUCCUUUUAAAAAUUGCGAUUGUGGUAAAAACACAUAAUGUAAAAUUUACCAUUUUAAUUCUUUUUAAGUGUAUAUUUCAUUAGCGUUAAGUACAUUCACAUAGUUAUGCAAAAGAUCUGUAGAACUUCUAUGUCUUGCAAAACUAACAUUAAAUGUCUUUUAAGACAAUUGCCCAUUUUACCAUCUCUUCAGUCCUUGACAAACACCAUUCUAACUUUUUUUUUCUAUGAGUUUGUCUACUUAAGAUACCUGAUUAUGAAUGGAAUCAUAGACUGUCACUUUGUUCCUGGCUUAUUUCAGUUAACGUGAUAUUCUCAAGAAUAAUCAUAUAAUGUGACUUUUUAAAGACUGAAUAAUAUUCGACUUUGUGUAUGUGCCACUUGUUGUUAAUCUCUUCAUUGGUCAAGGGACAGCUGGGUUGUUUCUGCCUUUUGGCUUGUGUUAGUAAUGCUGCAAUAAAUUUGGGUGUGCAAAU
rnacentral:lncRNA from 1 species